UAUUAAUCUCAGGUAAACACAAGGAUCUGAAGCAAGUUAAAGAAUAAAAUUUGGGCACUGUUUGGAAGUAUUGACAAUAAAACGCAAUGAGACAAGGUACUCGUUAACUCAAACCAAUCCAAUUCUUCAUAGCUCUAGGAGCUUCAAGGAAAAAACACACAAUAUUUUAUCAAAGUUAGCCAACUAAUUCAACACUCCACAAAGAAAGAAGUGAACUAGAUAAUUGAGGUUAAGAGAUGAUGGUCCAUGGGAAAACUGCCAACACUACCAACUUCUGGACGACCAUACCUCAGAAAAAAUCACAUACAGAGAUUCAACUGGAAAGCAAGGUAAAAAAAUUUAAGUUCAAACUCAAAAGACCCAAACCUUCCAAUCAGGGGAAUUGAAAUAAAUGUAACAGAUGGAAGAG
rnacentral:misc_RNA from 1 species